UACGGAGGGGGCAAGCGUUGUUCGGAAUCACUGGGCGUAAAGCGCGUGUAGGCGGCUCGGCAAGUCGGGUGUGAAAGCCCCAGGCUCAACCUCGGAACUGCACUUGAUACUGCUUGGCUCGAGUCCCGGAGAGGGUGGUGGAAUUCCCGGUGUAGGGGUGAAAUUCGUAGAUAUCGGGAGGAACACCAGUGGCGAAGGCGGCCACCUGGACGGUGACUGACGCUGAGCCGCGAAAGCGUGGGGAGCAAACAGG
rnacentral:rRNA from 1 species